rnacentral:rRNA from 1 species
UGGGGAAUUUUGGACAAUGGGCGAAAGCCUGAUCCAGCAAUGCCGCGUGUGUGAAGAAGGCCUUCGGGUUGUAAAGCACUUUUGUCCGGAAAGAAAUCCUUGGCUCUAAUACAGUCGGGGGAUGACGGUACCGGAAGAAUAAGCACCGGCUAACUACGUGCCAGCAGCCGCGGUAAUACGUAGGGUGCAAGCGUUAAUCGGAAUUACUGGGCGUAAAGCGUGCGCAGGCGGUUUGCUAAGACCGAUGUGAAAUCCCCGGGCUCAACCUGGGAACUGCAUUGGUGACUGGCAGGCUAGAGUAUGGCAGAGGGGGGUAGAAUUCCACGUGUAGCAGUGAAAUGCGUAGAGAUGUGGAGGAAUACCGAUGGCGAAGGCAGCCCCCUGGCAAGUACUGACGCUCAUGCACGAAAGCGUGGGGAGCAAACAGGAUUAGAUACCCUGGUAGUCCACGCCCUAAAACGAUGUCAACUAGUUGUUGGGGGAUUCAUUUUCCUUAGUAACGUAGCUAACGCGUGAAGUUGACCGCCU